rnacentral:rRNA from 1 species
UGCAGCGACGCCGCGUGGGUGAAGAAGCGCUCGGCGCGUAAAGCCCUGUCAGCAGGGAAGAAAAUGACGGUACCUGAAGAAGAAGCCCCGGCUAACUACGUGCC